rnacentral:rRNA from 1 species
UACGUAGGGGGCAAGCGUUGUCCGGAAUCAUUGGGCGUAAAGAGCGUGUAGGCGGUUCGGUAAGUCGGCUGUGAAAGUCCAGGGCUCAACCCUGGGAUGCCGGUCGAUACUGCCGGACUAGAGUUCGGAAGAGGCGAGUGGAAUUCCCGGUGUAGCGGUGAAAUGCGCAGAUAUCGGGAGGAACACCUAUGGCGAAGGCAGCUCGCUGGGACGUUACUGACGCUGAGACGCGAAAGCGUGGGGGAGCGAACAGG